AUGGGCUACUGCGACGGCAGUGGGGUCAAUGGCGUUGCGAUUUCGGAUCUGUCGGGCAACGUCGUGAGGAGGAUUCGAAGCACCGGGUAUGAGGUUGUUAGGGUGAACAUUGCGUCGGGUGAUGCCAUUGGCCGGUUCACAAGCAAGGACGAUAGCAUCUGUGUUGUGCGCACACGGCUAGACCUUGUCUGUUUCACCUGGAAUUUCUUCUCUGGGUCCUUCUGGGUGCUGAACCCAGCCACUGGAGCUACCAUCGACUUGCCAAUGGGCUUCUCUGAGGAAAUUGCGCAUGAGCUAGAGGUGAAGCCAAUGAAGGAAUAUAGGUGCAGACGUGAGUCGUUUGCUUUUGGGCAGGUCUCCUCUAGCAGGGAGUAUAAGGCGCUCCGCAUCUCUAGAGUUGAUGACCGGAAGGUAUGUGAGGUUAUCACCUUUGAUGACACCAACCAUGGAAGCUGGAGGAGAAAGCAGGACCCUCCGUCCCAUAUCUGUACCAGUCACAGGAUGAGAAGUGCGGUCGUCGAUGGGGUGGUGUACUUCCUGAUGGAAUUUUGCUACUCUAAUUAUGAAACUGGAGUUAUUACCAUUGAACCUGGUAGCGUAGCUUCUUUCAACCUCGACACAGAGGAGUGGAUGGGUGUUCUACGUGGUCCAGAACAGCUGGAGAGGUUUUUGCAAGACAACGGGGGAUACACUUACUCAGGACUUGAACACGAGUUAUCAUUGGCUGAGUUGAACGGCUGCUUAGUUGUGGCUCAUAAUAUUUAUGACAUAUCUAUGGACUUGUGGUUUUUGACAGAUUUUGAGAAAGGUAUUUGGGUCAAGAAAUACAGCUUGCCUUCACAUGUUGCUAGGCUUUUUUGGUAUCCUUUUCUCAUGUUACAUGAUGGGAGAAUUUUCUUCAGUGGGAUGGAUUGUCUGGAAGGUAUAUUAAGUGAUGGAGAGAAAGGAGAGGGAUUUCUGCAAUGUUAUGAUCCAAGGAAUGGCACAUGUACUGAUGAACUAAAACUGAGAGAUCCCCGAUCAAUCGGCAUUUACACAGGAAGCCUGCUGAGUUUAUAG
rnacentral:rRNA from 1 species